rnacentral:lncRNA from 1 species
GAUAGGUGUGAAAGGAAUCAAGGGUAGGAUAAUAACAAAGUCACAAGAUACAGAUGUUCUAAUCUUAUGCGUUCCUUACAUCCACUCCAUGCAGCAUACACAUGAGCUAUGGUUUCAAACAGACACUAUUACUUGAAUACAAGAUUUUCGCAUCUAUAUAAAUAUAGGAAGAUGUGGUGUGAGCGCCAAUGAGACAACUCUCCAUGCAAAUAACAAUUUAAAAAAGUAAGCCAUUAUAGGUCAAUGUACGGCCUUCAACACGGAGCCUUGGCUCACACCGAACAACAAGCUAUAAAGAGCCCCAAAAUUACUAUUGUAAAACCAUUCAAACGGGAAAACCACCGGUCUAAUCGAUAUAAAAAAGGAGAAACGAGAAACACGUAUAAAUUACAUAAACA